rnacentral:misc_RNA from 1 species
UGUUUGUCCCCAGUUCUUGUGUUGCCUACCUUUCGAAAGGAACUUGUGUGGCUUGUUGGAUUUUAUCCGUUCUAAACCAAUUUUGUUGAGACGUGAAGGGCUUUAAAGGUGAUCUACGGGGCUGCCCCAGUUAGUCUCGCUCGAUGCUGACUAUUUUGGUGCACAUGUAUUAAUCGUGUUCCUGGAUGCGGUUCAUGAAGCGAACGUGGGUUAGUUUCCUAAUGCGUCCCUUAUAUCAUUGGUUGCCUAAAAUGAUGCCUACCUUCAUGUGCCUUUUGUCGCAUAUUUUUGGGUCCAAAGCUUGCAUGAUGUGCAGA